CGCCUCUUGUAACCUAUAAGAGGUACAGCCUGCCCAGUGACUCUGUUUAACGGCCGCGGUAUCCUAACCGUGCGAAGGUAGCGUAAUCACUUGUUCUUUAAAUGAGGACUAGUAUGAAUGGCAUCACGAGGGUUAUACUGUCUCCUUUUUCCAAUCAGUGAAACUAAUCUCCCCGUGAAGAAGCGGGGAUAUAUAUAUAAGACGAGAAGACCCUAUGGAGCUUUAAACUAAAUUACAUUUGCCUAACUAAUAAAAAUUUAAGAAAAAUAAUAUGCACCCAGGCUUUUUGAUAAUAAGUUUUAGGUUGGGGUGACCGCGGAGAAAAACACAUCCUCCGCAUUGAACAAGAUUGUUUUUUUUAGCUAAAAACUACAACUUUAAGCAUCAAUAAAUUGACAUCAUUGACCCAAUAUUUUGAUCAACGAACCAAGUUACCCUAGGGAUAACAGCGCAAUCCACUUCAAGAGCCCCUAUCGACAAGUGGGUUUACGACCUCGAUGUUGGAUCAGGGUGUCCCAGUGGUGCAGCCGCUACUAAAGGUUCGUUUGUUCAACGAUUAAAACCCU
rnacentral:rRNA from 1 species